rnacentral:lncRNA from 10 species
AGUUGGGAGGCUUCCAGUACCAGACAAAAUGGAGUAAGGCACUGCAGUCUCUGCCACUGAUCACAACUAAAAAUUCUGGACAAAAUGUAACUAAGGACUCCGAAAAGUAAACAAGCAGCCAAAUUAUGGAAGGGAAUCAAAGCUUGAAGAAACUAUCUGUAUGGGUACCAGAAUCCUUUUAGCCAGGCAUAUGUCUGCCUGAAAUGGACUCAUCUUCCCAACCUCUCCUGCAACUAGGUGCAACCUACCAUGGACUAAGUUCUGCUGUGAGUUGUAGGAGGAGGUACAAUGGGGCACCUUCCUGGAACCUUCCUUACAACACUGUUGGCACAUUUCCUUUUUCUUCUUUGUCACCUCUUUAAUUCAUCCUGUGGCUUGGAAAGUUGGUGUAAAAAUAGCUGGAGUGCUGGCUACCAUGCUGACCAUGAAGACCUAGGGAGGGAGUCCAGGUACCUAAGCACUUUGUGAAACAGAGUCAUCUUACUAGCCCUGGGUUGCCUACUUUUGGGCAUUUAUGUGAGGGAGAAGUAAAUUCUCA